rnacentral:rRNA from 1 species
GAUGAACGCUGGCGGCGUGCCUAAUACAUGCAAGUCGAGCGAACAGACGAGGAGCUUGCUCCUUUGACGUUAGCGGCGGACGGGUGAGUAACACGUGGAUAACCUACCUAUAAGACUGGGAUAACUUCGGGAAACCGGAGCUAAUACCGGAUAACAUGUUGAACCGCAUGGUUCAACAGUGAAAGACGGUCUUGCUGUCACUUAUAGAUGGAUCCGCGCCGCAUUAGCUAGUUGGUAAGGUAACGGCUUACCAAGGCAACGAUGCGUAGCCGACCUGAGAGGGUGAUCGGCCACACUGGAACUGAGACACGGUCCAGACUCCUACGGGAGGCAGCAGUAGGGAAUCUUCCGCAAUGGGCGAAAGCCUGACGGAGCAACGCCGCGUGAGUGAAGAAGGUCUUCGGAUCGUAAAACUCUGUUAUUAGGGAAGAACAAAUGUGUAAGUAACUAUACACGUCUUGACGGUACCUAAUCAGAAAGCCACGGCUAACUACGUG